AGUGAACGCUGGCGGUAGGCCUAACACAUGCAAGUCGAACGGCAGCACAGUAAGAGCUUGCUCUUACGGGUGGCGAGUGGCGGACGGGUGAGGAAUACAUCGGAAUCUACUUUUUCGUGGGGGAUAACGUAGGGAAACUUACGCUAAUACCGCAUACGACCUACGGUUGAAAGCAUGGGAUCUUCGGACCUUGCGCGAUUGAAUGAGCCGAUGUCGGAUUAGCUAGUUGGCGGGGUAAAGGCCCACCAAGGCGACGAUCCGUAGCUGGUCUGAGAGGAUGAUCAGCCACACUGGAACUGAGACACGGUCCAGACUCCUACGGGAGGCAGCAGUGGGGAAUAUUGGACAAUGGGCGCAAGCCUGAUCCAGCCAUACCGCGUGGGUGAAGAAGGCCUUCGGGUUGUAAAGCCCUUUUGUUGGGAAAGAAAAGCAGCAGGUUAAUACCCCGCUGUUCUGACGGUACCCAAAGAAUAAGCACCGGCUAACUUCGUG
rnacentral:rRNA from 1 species